CACGAAUCAGGUGGGAAGACGUAGAACUUCAGUUGACAGGAGCACGCUCGUCAUGACAACAAUGAGGGAUGUGUUUGGACUGUACAGUCAACAGGUGCAAGGCUUUGGGACGUGUGGACUACAUUUACUGGCGUGAUGGACAUCUGCUGCGGACAGACAGAUGCAGUAUCCCCGAGUUAGAGGAGAUCAUGAUCACACACUUGAAGCUGAGGAUCACCAUCAAAUGAAAUUGUAUCCCACGAAUCCAGCCACUACGAUGAGG